GACUAAUUACCCGAGUAGUCCUGGCUGUAAACUCUGCGAGCUAGGUGUUGCGCAUUCUUCGAGAGUGUGCAGUAUCGUAGCGAAGGCGUUAAGCUCGCCGCCUGGGAAGUAUGGGUCGCAAGACUGGAAACUUAAAGGAAUUGGCGGGGAAGCACUACAAGGGGUGCGGCGUGCGGUUCAAUCGAAUUCAACACCGAAAAUCUCACCAGCAGCGACGGCAGAAUGAAGGUCAGAUUGAAGGUCUUACCUAACAAGCCGAGAGGUGGUGCAUGGCCGCCGUCAGCUCGUGCCGUAAGGUGUCCAUUUAAGUAUGGUAACGAGCGAGAUCUGUGCUCACUAUUGCUAACGAGUUCUUUAGAAUGAUCGAGCACAUUGUGAGGACUGCCUUGGAAACAAGGAGGAAGGUGCAGGCUACGGUAGGUCUGUAUGCCCCGAAUCUGCUGGGCUACACGCGCGCAACAAUGGUAGGAACAAUGGGAUACGACCCCGAAAGGAGAAGUUAAACCUCGAAAUCCUAUCCAAGUCCAAAUCGAGGAUUGUAACUCAUCCUCGUGA
rnacentral:rRNA from 1 species